rnacentral:rRNA from 1 species
UACAGAGGGUGCGAACGUUGCUCGGAAUUACUGGACGUAAAGCGCGUGUAGGCGGAGCGAUAAGUCGGAAGUGAAAUCCCCGGGCUCAACCCGGGAACUGCUUUCGAAACUGCCGUUCUCGAGUACCGGAGAGGGUGGCGGAAUUCCUGGUGUAGAGGUGAAAUUCGUAGAUAUCAGGAGGAACACCGGUGGCGAAGGCGGCUAUCUGGACAGAGUCUGACGCUGAGGCGCGAAAGCUAGGGGAGCAAACGGG